rnacentral:rRNA from 1 species
GAUGAACGCUGGCGGCGUGCCUAAUACAUGCAAGUCGAGCGAAUGGAUUAAGAGCUUGCUCUUAUGAAGUUCGCGGCGUACGGGUGAGUAACACGUGGGUAACCUGCCCAUAAGACUGGGAUAACUCCGGGAAACCGGGGCUAAUACCGGAUAACAUUUUGAACCGCAUGGUUCGAAAUUGAAAGGCGGCGUCGGCUGCCACUCUUGGAUGGACCCGCGUCGCAUUAGCUAGUUGGUGAGGUAACGGCUCACCAAGGCAACGAUGCGUAGCCGACCUGGGAGGGUGAUCGGCCACACUGGGACUGAGACACGGCCCAGACUCCUCCGGGAGGCAGCAGUAGGGAAGCUUCCGCAAUGGACGAAAGUCUGACGGAGCAACGCCGCGUGAGUGAUGAAGGCUUUCGGGUCGUAAAACUCUGUUGUUAGGGAAGAACAAGUGCUAGUUGAAUAAGCUGGCACCUUGACGGUACCUAACCAGAAAGCCACGGCUAACUACGUGCCAGCCGCCGCAGUAA